UUUAUGGAGAGUUUGAUCCUGGCUCAGAGUGAACGCUGGCGGCGUGCCUAAUACAUGCAAGUCGAACGAUGAAGCUUCUAGCUUGCUAGAGUGCUGAUUAGUGGCGCACGGGUGAGUAACGCAUAGGUCAUGUGCCUCUUAGUUUGGGAUAGCCAUUGGAAACGAUGAUUAAUACCAGAUACUCCCUACGGGGGAAAGAUUUAUCGCUAAGAGAUCAGCCUAUGUCCUAUCAGCUUGUUGGUAAGGUAAUGGCUUACCAAGGCUAUGACGGGUAUCCGGCCUGAGAGGGUGAACGGACACACUGGAACUGAGACACGGUCCAGACUCCUACGGGAGGCAGCAGUAGGGAAUAUUGCUCAAUGGGGGAAACCCUGAAGCAGCAACGCCGCGUGGAGGAUGAAGGUUUUAGGAUUGUAAACUCCUUUUGUUAGAGAAGAUAAUGACGGUAUCUAACGAAUAAGCACCGGCUAACUCCGUGCCAGCAGCCGCGGUAAUACGGAGGGUGCAAGCGUUACUCGGAAUCACUGGGCGUAAAGAGCGCGUAGGCGGGAUAGUCAGUCAGGUGUGAAAUCCUAUGGCUUAACCAUAGAACUGCAUUUGAAACUACUAUUCUAGAGUGUGGGAGAGGUAGGUGGAAUUCUUGGUGUAGGGGUAAAAUCCGUAGAGAUCAAGAGGAAUACUCAUUGCGAAGGCGACCUGCUGGAACAUUACUGACGCUGAUUGCGCGAAAGCGUGGGGAGCAAACAGGAUUAGAUACCCUGGUAGUCCACGCCCUAAACGAUGGAUGCUAGUUGUUGGAGGGCUUAGUCUCUCCAGUAAUGCAGCUAACGCAUUAAGCAUCCCGCCUGGGGAGUACGGUCGCAAGAUUAAAACUCAAAGGAAUAGACGGGGACCCGCACAAGCGGUGGAGCAUGUGGUUUAAUUCGAAGAUACACGAAGAACCUUACCUAGGCUUGACAUUGAGAGAAUCCGCUAGAAAUAGUGGAGUGUCUAGCUUGCUAGACCUUGAAAACAGGUGCUGCACGGCUGUCGUCAGCUCGUGUCGUGAGAUGUUGGGUUAAGUCCCGCAACGAGCGCAACCCCCUUUCUUAGUUGCUAACAGGUCAUGCUGAGAACUCUAAGGAUACUGCCUCCGUAAGGAGGAGGAAGGUGGGGACGACGUCAAGUCAUCAUGGCCCUUACGCCUAGGGCUACACACGUGCUACAAUGGGGUGCACAAAGAGAAGCAAUACUGCGAAGUGGAGCCAAUCUUCAAAACGCCUCUCAGUUCGGAUUGUAGGCUGCAACUCGCCUGCAUGAAGCUGGAAUCGCUAGUAAUCGCAAAUCAGCCAUGUUGCGGUGAAUACGUUCCCGGGUCUUGUACUCACCGCCCGUCACACCAUGGGAGUUGUGUUUGCCUUAAGUCAGGAUGCUAAAUUGGCUACUGCCCACGGCACACACAGCGACUGGGGUGAAGUCGUAACAAGGUAACCGUAGGUGAACCUGCGGUUGGAUCACCUCCUUU
rnacentral:rRNA from 1 species